AUUGAACGCUGGCGGCAGGCCUAACACAUGCAAGUCGAGCGGCAGCGGGAAAGUAGCUUGCUACUUUUGCCGGCGAGCGGCGGACGGGUGAGUAAUGCCUGGGAAAUUGCCCAGUCGAGGGGGAUAACAGUUGGAAACGACUGCUAAUACCGCAUACGCCCUACGGGGGAAAGCAGGGGACCUUCGGGCCUUGCGCGAUUGGAUAUGCCCAGGUGGGAUUAACUAGUUGGUGAGGUAAUGGCUCACCAAGGCGACGAUCCCUAGCUGGUCUGAGAGGAUGAGCAGCCACACUGGAACGGGGACACGGUCCAGACUCCUACGGGAGGCAGCAGUGGGGAAUAUUGCACAAUGGGGGAAACCCUGAUGCAGCCAUGCCGCGUGUGUGAAGAAGGCCUUCGGGUUGUAAAGCACUUUCAGCGAGGAGGAAAGGUUGAUGCCUAAUACGCAUCAACUGUGACGUUACUCGCAGAAGAAGCACCGGCUAACUCCGUGCCAGCCGCCGCAGUAA
rnacentral:rRNA from 1 species